rnacentral:lncRNA from 1 species
UACGGUUCUAAAGCCAUUACCAGAGAAACCUGAUGAAGAAAUUGAAGAAAAAACUGAAACACAGAUGUGCAGUAAUGCUCCUGAGACAUCAAAGGCGGAGUUGAAUAACCAUUUCUCUCCCGUUGAAGAUGCGCCAGUUGAUGGUCAGUCUCAAGAAACUCGUGGAAGUGUAACUCAAUCUGAAACUACUGCUGCAGAUACCGGGGAAGUUCCUUCUUCUUCUAAUGAGGAAAAGCCCAUGGAAACAAAUGGGAGUAAGCUUUCUGCCACAGCUGAACCAUUCAACCCAGGAGCUGUCUCCAUGACUCAUCUGCUACACUCUGUAGCAGCCACGAGUAUUUAUGAUCCGAGAACUAGUCAAGGUAUGCUUGCAGAACCUGCUGUACCUUCGGCUGCUGCUAGAGUUCCUUGUGGGCCAAGGUCGCCUCUCUAUUAUAGAAAUAAUUAUUCUUACAUUAUGAAACAUGGAUUUCCAAAAUACCACUCUUCCAUUAUGGAAAGAAACCUGUUGGGGCCUUCAAGAAUCAUGAACCCGCAUGCACCCGAGUUUGUGCCAAUGAGAGGUUGGCAAAUAAAUCCUGGAUAUGCACAUUCAACUGUUUCAAAUGAGUCAAACUCUUCAAAUGACACAAGUGAGGCAGACGAUGAGAAACUUGACAAAAUGUCCAGUAUUCAAGGCGAGGAUAAUACCUCAAGAAAGAGCAGUACAGAGGCGGAGAAGUCAGAGCUGGCAAGACAGAUACUACUUAGCUUCAUUGUAAAGUCAGUCCAGCAUAAUAUGGAUGCUCCAAGUCAUUCUUCAGGCUACGAAAAGAAGAUUGGGUAUUCAGAAAAUUCUUCAGAUGCAAUUGCAAAUGAUAGUGCUAUCAUAAAGAUCCUUUAUGGAAAUGAAAAGGGCAAAACAAACUUGGCAUCUCAGUCCAAUGAUCAAGAACAGCAAAAACCCAAAGAGGAAAACCAAAAAAGUGGGGAUGGUGAAGGAUUUAUAGUUGUCAGAAAACGGAGAAGAAACCGACAGCAGAUCACAAAUGGGGUAACUGAGAUGUACAAUCAUCAAUCCAUCUGUGCUUCUGUUCGUUAAAAGAGAGAGCAAAGCAAUAAAAUGCAAAGGUGCCGUCCUGUUUCUCCCAAUUUUAUUCGAAAAAUUUGUUAGUGAAUGUUACCGUUGUAGAGAUGGUUAAAGUUUGGAGCAAGUUUUAAUCAAUACUUGAUUGUAUCAUUUUAGAUAUCCUCUCUGGAUGUUCUAAUAUAAUAUUUGUACAAAUCGGUUUCUUGUUUUGUUAAGAGAUUUUGUUUUGAUCAAUAAAUGAUGAUAAAUUAAUUGGGCGAUUUUCCUCAUCAAGAGAUCUGUGAUGUUGUUCUAUAAUGGAUUUUAAUGUUUUAGACUGAGAUUUGUAGUUAUGCCUCAAAUUAUUUGGUAUUUGGUUGGUGCGUGUGAACAAUACGUUCGGAAUGGAGUUGAAUUGACCCACUGAUAGAUAGCUUACAUUUGCAGCUGAAGUUGCUGCACUGAUGAUAUUACAACUGACAUGGUAGGCAAAAUUCCUUAUUCAAUUUAAAUUUGCAAUCAACAGAAACUGAAGAAGAAGCCGUAAGUUUAAUCCUAAUGGAUGCAUAGCUGUUUGGAGAAAAGCCAAUGGAGACAUAACAAAGCACGAUAAGUUAUACACGGCAGAACGGUAUGUGCUAGUAAGCACAGUCACCGAUGGAAAACAUAUUUGAAAAGCCAAUAGUAGCAUGUGUCAAUACAUCUAUCAAUGAAAUAGAACCACAGUCUGCGCCAGUACGAGUUUAUCCAAAGUGCUGCAAGUAAACCCAAAAUCACUGACACAUAGGAUGCUCCAAAACUCCAUCUUAAUGCCACCAUGUCAAUCACAGAAUCGCCUUCAUCUUCUCCUCCUCCUGUAGGUGUCGCUGGUGGUGCCAACGCGCUGCUGCAUUUCCUCUUUAUCAUUGAGCCACAAAGAGCCGAAUUACCUUUAUAACUGCUGUCAUCAAAGGUGGCAAACUGCUCUUUGUCCGGGAUUGGGCCGGACAAAUUGUUGUAUGACACGUUGAAGUUUGAUAAAAAGUUGAGCUCAGUUAGUUGAGGAAUUCGGCCACUUAAUUUGUUGCGGGAAAGGUCCAGGCUCUCUAUCAUUUUCAGAUUGGAGAAGCUCUCUGGUAUAGUGCCUGAUAGUAAAUUAUUGGACAGAUUAAGUGCACGAAUAUGUUGAAGAUGCCCAAUUUCCCAUGGAAUUUCUCCACUGAACUCAUUGCUCGACAAAUCCAGUCCAGCCAUGUCGUCGAGAUUGAGACCAAUGAAAAAUUCAUAUCUAUACUUUGUCACAAAUUCUACACCUACUGGUUGAUCUAGUCCACCAUGUAGUUCACCUGGCGGCAGCAGAUGAAGAGUGGAAUUGUAGUAAGUAGAAGCGGAAUCACGAUUAGACAUAGCAAAUUCAUAUUCAAAUGAACCAUCAUCAAUCGCUUCCCUCCCGAAUGAGAUGUUACCCAGGCAUGAAGGUAUCGGCCCAUUAAGUCUGUUAUGUGAAAGAUCCAUGAUACCUAAUUUUCUUAAUUGGCACAACUGAUUAGGAAUACGUCCUUGUAGAGAAUUCCCUCUCAAAAGAAGAAAAUGCAAAUUCGAAAGCUCAUUGAUCUGAUGAGGAAUCCUACCAAAAAAUUUAUUGUCCCUCAAAUCGAGAGUCAAUAAUGUAGAGCUUCUAAGCAAUGCAAUUGGAAUUAACCCAUUAAUUGCAUUGUUAUGCAGAUAAAUGUGCUUCACUGAUGAAAGAUUGGAGAGAGAUACCAUGGACCCAGACAAACCAUUUUCGGAGAUGUCUAUAAACUCAAGACUUUCAAGAUUGCCGAGCUGGACCGGAAUACUACCUUGCAAAUAAUUUUCUGACAUUAAAAGAAGCCAAAGGACUGAGAAGUUGCCAAUCCAGUGGGGAAUAUCGCCGGAUAACUUGUUGUUGGAUACAUCUAAUACAUCCAGCAAAGUGGAGCUCAACAAACCAUCUGCCAUUUUCCCACUGAAAUGAUUGUUGUUCAAACGUAAUGAACUCAAAUGAGUCAAGUUCAUAAAAUUGGGAAAAAGUUGGCCAUAGAAAUUGUUAUUUGAUAGGUCCAACGUUUCUAAGGAGAGGCAACUAGAGAAUAUAGAUCGAGGUAAUUCUCCUGAAAAAUUAUUUCUAGACAAAUCCAAAGUAAUUAGCUCUUUCAUCUCACUGAUUGAAUAAGGAAUAUUACCUUCAAAACUAUUUUUUGACACAUCCAAAUAUAUCAAUUUCUGAAAGACAAUACCCAAAUUCUCUGGUAGCUUACCAGAAAAAUUGUUAGUGGAAAUAUCUAGAUGACGAAGCUUGUCGUAUUUGGCAUUGGGAAGUCGCGGAAGAAUUCCCGAGAAUGAGUUAUUCCACAAAAUCAAAACUUCUAAUCCUGUGUUGUUUUGCAACAACCAAGUUGGGAAAUUGCCAACCAACUGAUUGUGAGAGAGAUCAAGGAAUUUUAAGUGGUGUUGGUGUAAAAGAAAACUACUAUUGACAUUUAAGUGGCAGUGAGAUAAUUGGAGAACCUUGAGAGGAUAUGUGGGGAGCCAGUUUUCGGUUUUCACUUGCAACAUAUCGUUUCCUGACGAGAGUACCAAGACCUCAAGCUUUGAAUGAUUAGCCAAUGAAUUUAUUAAGAAUGUUCCUUGGAAAUCGAUGAAAGAGAGAUCCAAAUAUUCAAGUGAUGUGAGGUUGGUCAAGACAGAAGGAAAGUUUCCACUUAACUGAUUGUAAGAAAUAUCAAGAACUUUAAGAUGGGUCAAGUUGUUGAGACACUGAGGAAGAUGACCCUCAAAAUUAUUUGAGCUUAAAUCCAACUCAAGAAGAUUCUUCAAAUUACAUAUUCCUAAAAGUGAAAAUAAAAAGCUCAGAUUUCAUAAAACGAAAACUAAUUAUAGCACAUUCAAUCAUAAACCCAAUAUAAGACUUAUAAAACGGACAUGAAAUCAAAUUGUCUAAGUAUUUUGGUCAACAUAAAUAAUAAUAGAAUGAUAUGAAUUUAUUUCUCAUAUAAUAUGAUGUUGAUUGCAAAAGCGUUUCAAUUAAUCUAACAAUAAAAAAGAAAAUAAUAAUAAAAAUAUAAAAGCAGUCAGCAAUUCUUGCUCAUCGUAAUCCAUUCAAUAAGCGUUUCAGCAAUUCUCGUUGUUUAAAAUAAUGAUUUUCUGCGGAAGAGUUUGUUGACUUCGUCUUUUUCGUUGGAUAUUGGUUUUCUAAUCUCUAAAUUUGUUGGAUAAUGUAAAGAGAAACUCAUAAUAUAUUGGUUGCUUUCUUAAACUUUAUUUAAUUUCGUCGAAGUACUUCGACCAACAAGUCACUGGGAAGUAGGAAUUGUGUAAUCAGUAAUGCAAAUAUUGGGUGCGUUGGUAUUGUUUUUAUAUGCUGUUUUUUAUUUUUUGAAUUUAGAAAAUAUUAGAUACGUGUUCGGUAGAUUGUUUCUGAAUUUUUUUAAAAAAUAUAAAAUUCAUUCUACACAUUUUAACAAAAGAAAUGAGAAACAACUUUUUCUUAUUUUCCUUAUUUCCCAAUACAAUAUUAAGUUCCAAAAUGAAGAAUUCUCUUUACCUCCUCCUGAAAUAAUAAUAAUAUCAACAUUAUUAUUAUUAUUAUUAUUAUUCUUGUUGUUGUUGUUGUUGUUGUUGUUAUUGUUGUUCUUGUACCCAAAGAAUCAAUUUCCCUCACAAUAAUCUUUUCUUUUUAUAUACAUUAUAAUAUUUAUGUUUUUAUAUUAACUAAAUCAAAUAUGUAGGGUUUAUCAUUUUUCUUUGAACAAAAAAAAUAGAAAGAUCACCUAAUUUAUUCUUAAAAUUAAAAUAAUCAAUAUACAUUGCUUAAUCUUAAGUUUAUGGAAAUUAUUCCAAUAAUAAUUCUUUGAGACAUUCUUACCAAACAUAUUUGUUUUCUCAUUUUUGAGAUUAUUUUUAAAAUGAUACUGAACACAUUUUUAAAUUUUAAAAAUAAAUUUAAAAAUAGCAUUUUCAUUUUUUUUGUGAAAACAACAAUUAGAAAACAAUAUUGGGCUCUUAUUUAUCAUGUUUCAACAUAAAAACACAAUGUAAAUGGUUUAAUAUGGGUUUCUAGAGAAUUUUUUAUAUUACUAUUACUCAAAUUCAAUGCUUCCAAGCUUUUGAAUUUAGCUAAUCUUGCAUCAAGAAUUAAUGAACAUAAGGAAAAAAAAAUUUAUUCAGAACUAUAAAUAUUGAAAUAAAGAUAAAUAUCAUUGUUGAUUUUUUUGUAAAAAAAGAUUUAGAAUUAAGAGAGAGUGAAAGAAAUGAGCGGGUUAUGUCGGAAAUUGGUGAUAGAGUAUGUCAAGUACUAAACUUUGUAUAGAAAGCAGUGCUUCUAAUUUAAAUUUGAUCUAGUUUAAAGCAAUUAAAAAAUGCAAAUAUAUUAUCAUCUUGAUUAACAUCUAAAACAAUUUUUGUCAUUGGAGGAAGUGAGUUGUUAUAUACCUUGAAUUGUAGUUAUCCCACAAGAAUGAAGAUCCAAUGCUUUCAAAUUUGGCAAAUCUGCCAAUCCUACAUGCGCUAAUAAAAAAUGAAAAUAUUACAUUUAAAGGUAUUGUAUGUGAUCUGCACGUUUGAAGAAUAUUAAUUCUUAAUUUGCUUCUUAUCUCAGAUUCAAUGGCUUACCUAGCGUUGUCAAAUUUUGAUUUAAGCUUAAAUCCAACACUUGCAGGUUUGUCAAAUUUGCUAAUCCUAUUAAAAAAAAACAUAAAUUUUGUCAAUAAUAGUUACAUCACUCUCGUCUAAAUUGUUUAAUUAAAAUAAUAUGAUAAAUAUUAAAUGAAAAUUAAUUGUGCAAAUUGUUUAAUUAAAAAAAUUGCCUUCUAAAGAACUGUGUAUAUAAUAAUUAUAACUCAAAUCCAACGUUUCCAAGCUUUUUAAUUUAGCUAAUCCUGCACCAAGAAAGAAGAAAACUUUUAUUAAUCAUCUUUGGAAAAAAAAAAAGAAUUAAGAUUAAGAAACAAAUUUCAAAGUUAGAUUAAAUAAUUGUAGUAAUAAAGCUUAUGAUGAUUAAGAUAUAAUUAAAUUGAUCAUAUACUCAAAAAUGAUUUUAUUUUAUUUUAUUUUUUAAUUUUACUAAGAAAUUAGAAAGUAAAUUUUUGUCGUGUACCAAUUAUAGUCAAGUUUGUCAAGUUUUCCAGUCAAAAAUUGCUUUUAAUUUGACAUUAUACAUAUGUAAAAAUUAAAGCCAUAAUAAUAUCACAAGGAAUUUGGGUAGUGACUUGUUGCCGUGUACCUUGAAGUGUAGUUAUUCCACAACUACCAAGAUCCAAUUCUUUCAGGUCUGUCAAAGAUAAUCCUAUACCAACGAAAAGCAAACUAUUACUUUUAAAAUUAUUGUAGAAGGUUGUGAUUAGUGUGCUAACUUGGUAGUUAUCUCAGUAGCCUACCUAGCCUUGUUAAAGAGCCACUAGUUAUAUUGCGGUUCCCGCUUAGAUCCAACACUUGCAAGUAUCUCAAAUUUGCUAAUCCUGCUUAGAAAACAUUAAUUUUGAUCAAGACAAUAUAAAUAUAUAUUUUAAUUAAUAAAUUAAUUAAGUUGCCUGACAUGUAUAUCUGCUGGCUUGAAACGUAUAUGUAUACCUUGCUUGGUUCUGGAACCUUCAAUCUUAUUGUAACGAAGAUUCAGAGUGGUAAGUGAAGUUAGUGUAUUCAAAUAUGGUAAUAUGCUGUCGAUGAAGAAAUUAAAACCAAGAUUUAAGAUCUUUAGCUGCUUCAAACUCCCAAAGCUAUCGUAAGCUGCAAAUGCAUAUGAAGUGUUAUUUUUAAUUAGUCACUGACAAAAUAUUUAUGGACGAGAAAUAAAUGUAUACAUAUAUACGGACCUCUAUUCUCACAGAAGCCUGUAAACCCAUUCCCAGGUAAGUCGAGCCUUUGCAAUUCUUUGAAAGGAUGAAACAAUGACAUAUUCAGAAGCGAAGCCGAAGUUCCAUCAUAAUAAUUCAAUCUCUUUGUAUAAUUGAGUGAGAGUUGCAUCACGCGUCGUGUGGUGGCGUUGCACAUAACUCCCUCCCAAUCAUCACAACAAUCAGACGGCAUUCCAUCAUCCUCACCAACCCAUGAAGGAAGAAUUUUGUCAUCAUAUCCAAUAUCACUGACUAAUGAUAUGAAGAAGCUCUUGAUUUCCAACAGAGCAGUCCUCUCUGUUUCCAAGCAUCCUUUGUAUCCAUGAAUUUCAUCCAUCGAUACAAUAAUCCAAAUUAGUGACAUUAAUGAGAACUUAAUACAGGAAGUACUUUCCAUUGUAGAGCAACUUUUCAUUUGGUUAAAAUUAAAUGUGCAAUGAGCAACUUUCCAUUGCAGAGCAAUUUAUACUAAAAGUUUAUCGUAGGUCUUGCAAUUUGAUUGGCUGAAGACUUUUUUAAGACUUUCCAAUACAUUGCCAUCUUUGAAGACUUGUAAGCACUUCAUUAAUACCCCGUGGAAAAUAUAGAUAAAGUGAUUGUAAACUAUAAAUUUUUGUAAUAGUUUGAUGGAGAUAAUCAUAACUAAUAAAAAAAAAGUUGACCGAGAGAAUUUAAAUAAUUCAACCAUAUGUUUGGAUUUCCAUUGCAUUAUCAGUCAAUCUAUUAAAUAAUGUGUUUUGAGAAGAAUUUGAUUGGAUGUUUGAUAAGUUUAAAUUAAUUUAUUAGAAAAUCAAUAAUUAAUCAACAUAAAUCUUCGUAUAUGUUUAGUUAGUGUGGCGUUGUCUGAAAUGACAAAAAACAUAAAUGUUAUUUGAAGCUCUUGUGACCCUUUGUGUUCAUGCAUUUGAAUCAAAGCUGUACUAAAAUCAAAGAUAUUGGGCAUCCUUAAUAAGGAAAGUUUCCAUUGCUCUCAGUCUGCACUCUUCAUUACUAUUGCAAUCACUUGAAAUGACUAAAACAGAAAUUUCGUAUGAACUUGGGACAGCUGCACGGGUCCAAUUUAAAUGACAACUACGUGGAAAAUAAAAAUUUUGCAUAUAUUAUUACAACUACGUGGAAAAUUAAAGUUGACUGACUUUCAAAUUAAGCCAACAAACAAGUGGCCAUCAACUCUUUUUCCACUAACAAUUAGUGGCGACGGUCAAUACUAUAAAAUAAAAGUUGACUAAGAAUUUAUGUAAUUUAAGAGUAUGAUUGGCCUUUUAUUGAAUAUUAUGAUUGGGUUUGCACUGAAUUAUCAAAAAAUCUAUUCAACGAUUUAUAUUCUAAAAUAUUUAGUGAGUUUAGAAAAUUAUUUUAUUAGAUUUUUGUUAAUUUUUUUUAUUAUUAUUAGAUGGCCAACAAUUAAUCAAGUAAUUUUCCAUAUAUAUUUGAUAAUUUACUCAUAAAAGCGUGGACUACAUUCAAAUGGCAUUUUAUAUGAUGUGUGAUAUAUGUAGAGGUGAAAUUUAAAUAGGCUUAAUUUUAUAAAUAAAUACAUAUGUAUUGCAGCAUUCAAUCAUUGUGUUAAAGCGCCAAUCACGGUGACCACCAAAACCUAUGAAUGAUUAGUCCAUCGAAACCCAAUGUAUGCUCAAUUAAUAUUUCCUAUCAAGAUCAAAUUUUUCGCUCUAUUGCUUCAACAAUCAUGAGCAUAAAAGCUCGAUUUAUACAAAAAUUACGAAUUUAUGAAAAAAAAAAGUCACAUUUAUUAUAAUAUGAAGUUUGAUUGAUUUUUAAAGAUUGAUUCAAUCAAUCUUAAUGUUACUGGACAAUCGAUCUUAAUGUUAAUUCAAAAUCAAUCUUUAUUUCGAUGGGCACAGAUAAAGAUAAUUAGUUUUGGUCUCUAUAAUGACUGACGAAGACUUGUAGGACCUGGACCAAUGAGGAAAAACACUUUCAAAUUAAGCCAACAUACAAAUGGUCGUCAAUUCUAUUUUUUACAAAAAUUGAUGGAGAUAGUCAACUAAUAAAAUAAAAGUUGAUUGAGAUAAUUUAAAGAAUGUAGGCAUAAGUUUGGCUUUUAAAUUGUCAAAUAAUUUAUUCCACUAUUGAUACUUAAAAAAGUGCUUUGGAAUUAAUAAUUCAAUAGGGUGUUUGAUAUAUUGGAAUUCGUGAAAAUCAAUAAUCAACUAUUUUUUAUACAUGUUUAGAAAUUUAUCCGGUGUGUAUAGGGGCUUGUAUAUUUCACAAUAAACAUGAAUUAGUACAUCCAUUGAUUGACGUAUAAUUAUAAUCAUAUAAUCAAACACGCACACUACAAGGCGACCUUCGAUUGACGUAUUCUGUGAACUAACCCGUGGGAGAUGGAGGAUGUCUUAACGUUAUAAAAAAAAAUUGAUGAAUAAUAUAGUUCCAGGCAGUGCUAAAACCAUAAUGUACGCCAGUAUGAGUUUAUCCAAAGUCACCGGCUACACCAAUAUCAUUGUGACAUAGUAACAUUCUUGUCCCAUUGAGUGAGAGUUGCAUCACCCGUCGUGUGGUGGCGUUGCACUCAACUCCCUCCCAGUCAUCACAACAAUCAGACGGCAUUCCAUCAUCAACCCAUGAAGUAAGAAUAACGUCUUCAUAUUCCCUAUCACUGAUUGAUAUAAAGAAGCUCUUGAGUUCCAACAGAGCAGUCCUCUCUGUUUGCAAGCAUGCUUUGUCUCCAUGCAUUUCAUUCAUCAAAAUAAUAAUCCAUAUUAGUGAAAUUAAUGAGAACUUGACAAAGGAAGUACUUUCCAUUGCAAAGCAACUUUUCAAUUGGUUAAUAUAAAAUUUGCAACGAGGAAACUUCGAUAUUUAUACUAAACAUUUAUCAUCAUGGACCUUGCAAUUUGAUUGGCUGAAGAUUUCCAACCACCCAACCUAACGAAAAUGAAACAUCUUAGAGAUAUCAAGUAAUAAAAAUACUUGAUUAUCUUAUUUUUGUUUUAGAGGGUUAUUAAAGACAAAACAUUGUCAAUACAUUAUAACAUCGCUAUCUUGAAGUCUUUGUCUUUUAGUGAAGACUUGUAAGCUUGAAAUUACAUAUAUAUUGCAACAUCGACCCAGGAGAAAAAGAACUUCACUAAUACUCCGUGAAAAAUAAAAUUAAAGUUCACUGACUCUCGAAUUACGCCAACAAACAAGCGAGUGCAAACUAUAUUUUCUCCAACAGUUUGAUGGAGAUAGUCGUAACUAAUAAAAUAAAAGUUGUGUGAAAGAGUUUAAAUAAUUUAUCCGUAUAUUUGGGAUUACAUUGGAUUAUCAGUUAAUCUAUUAAAUAAUAUGUUUUGUAAAGAAUUUGAUUGGAUGUUUGAUAAGUUUAAUUUAGUAGUUUAAUUACUCAUAAAAGUGUGAUGUACUCUAAAAUGACAAACACAUAAAUGUUAUUUGAAGCUUUUGUGACCCUUCAUGUUCAUGCAUUUGAAUCAAAGCUAUUAAAAUCAAAUAUAUUGAUAAACCUUAAUAAGGAAAUUAAGUUUCGAUUGCUCUCAAUCUGCAACUCGACUACUAUUACAAUCACUUGAAAUGACAAAAACAGAAAUUUCAUAUGAACUUGGGACAGAUGUACACGGGUUCAAUUUAGCUAAUUUCCCAUAUAUUUACAACUACGUACGGGGAAAAUUAAAGCUGAUUGACUUUCAAAUUAAGCAACAAACAAGUGGCUGUCUACUAUUUUUCCUCUACCAAUUGAUGGAGACCGCCGAUGCUAUAAAACAAAAAUUGAUUAAGAAUUUAGAUAAGGAAAAUUAUCAACUGUCCGUCUUAAGUUUAUCAUUUAUUCAUUUUUCGCCUUAAGUUUACAAUUCGUAUUAGUCAUCUACUAAAAAGAUAGAAUUACACUUAUGAAAUGACAAUACAUAAAUAAAUACAAAUGGCAAUAGUGGUAAUUUUGUAUGAAUUUUUCUAUUCUUUUGGCGGUUGGUUGAUACAAAUUAAAAACAUAAGAAGAAAAAUAAAUAAAUUCAAUCUUUUUAGUAUUUCUGAUAGUAGGUUAAACCAAAGGAGGAGGGCUUUAUAAUUUCCCUUUAAAUAAUUUAAGGGUGUGAUUGCGUUUCUAUUGAAUUGUACGCUUGGAUUUGCAUUGAAUUAUCAAAAAAUCUAUGCAAGCAUCGAAUUGUAAUGACUGACGAAGACUUAUAAGGCUUGGACCAAUGAAGAAAAAUGCUUCAUUAAUGCUCCGUGGAAAACAAGCCAGCUUGGAAGCAGUUGAUCGGAUGGUCAACAGUUGAUUGAGAUAGUCAACUAAUAAAAUAAAAGUUAGUUGAGAUAAUUUUAAUAAUUUAAGCGUCGUUUGGGUUUCAAAUAUCAAAUAAUUUAUUCCAGUAUUGAGAAGAGUUGAAUUCCGUUAUUUUAUUGAGAAGAGAUCCAUCGCUCCCUCCCAAUUAUCACAGCAAUCAGACGACAUUCCUUCAUCACCGUCAAACCAUGAACUAAGAGCUUCGUCAUCGUAUCCAAUAUCACUGCUGCUGAUAUGAAGAAGCUUUUGAUUUCUAACAGAGCAGUCCUCUCAGUUUCCAAGCAAGCUUUGCAUCCAUGCAUUUCAUCCAAAACGACAAUCCAAAGUAGUGAGGUUAAUGAGAACUUAAUGAAGGAAGUACUUCCAUUGCAAAACAGCUUUUUAUUUGGCUAAAGUUAAAUGUGAAUUAAAUAUCUUUGACUGGUGAUAUACAUAUAUUCAGAGAUUUGAAGUGCUCAAACCAAAAACAAAUAAAAAUAUAAAAAUAUUAUUAUAAAAAAAUUGAUGAAUAAUAUAGUUCCAGGAAGUGCUAAUAUGGCUCUUUGAACUCUCUUUACAGUAUUGGUAGAAAUUUAUCCGAUGUGUACAAGGGCUUGUAUAUUUUGCAAUAAAAUAUACGAGCCAAUAUGAAUUUCUUUCUUUCUUUCUCUCUCUUUUUUUUUUUAAGUUUCUCUCUCUUUUUUUUUUUAAGAAACAUGAAUUGGUUCGUCCAUCAAUUAAUAAUAAAACCAUAAUGUACACCGGUAUGAGUUUAUCUAAAAUCACCGGCCACACCAAUAUCAUUGUGACAUAGGAAGCGAUGAGGAAAUUUACGAAAUAUUUAUUAAACCAUAGUCUACGCCAGUAAGAUGGAAUUAGCAUUCAAUGAUCAUAGACUUUCUGCAAUUUCAUUGACUUGUGAUCAGGGAGUCCUUAUUCUACAAUAAUUAUAAUCAAACACGCACACUGCAAGGCAACCUUCAAUUGACGUAUUCUGUCAACUAACUGGGGACAGGGGUCAUAAAAGGGUACGUGAGAGAAAGCACGAGUCUAUGCACAGUUCCGGUUUUGCUAGUUGAUGGAACAUGGAGGAUGUGUGUUAACGUUAACCAAUAGUCAAGUUUAUGAACACAACCAAGUAAUCGUAUCAUCAAUCAGAACCACAUUCGACGCACGACUAGUAAAUAUCAUAAUUGAGUUUGAGGACCACAACCGCACAGUGAAAGAAUUUGAAUGAAGGAAAAGUAAAAGAAAAGGAAAAGGAAAAGAGGGGAAUGCUAAAGAAAAAUAAGUUGAUUCAUCAGUUAUUCAAUAUGACAAUUGCACACAAAUUUUGGAUGUUUUUAGCCUCCAUGUGAAUCAAAAUAAUUAAUAGAGACUAUCCCGCGUGUCACAUGUAACUAACUUUGGCGCCAUCUUGAGCUACUUCUGUUAAGGUCUUCACUCCAUAGUCUUAAGAACACAAUGCACAAUCAAUUCUUCAGAUUCAUAUGGCAAAUGAAUUACUCAUAAAAGAAAGAUAAAGUAAACUAUGGCCUGGUACUGUCGUUUUAUGCGUUCUAGUGGUGUUGUAGUAUAAACAGUACUCGUUUUUCUAUCUUGGUGGUUUCUUGAUUGUGUUCAAAUAUCAAUACUCGGAGACAGAUAGAGGAAAGCUAAAGAAAAAUAAGCUAAUUCAUCACUAACAUAAUAUGACAAUUGCACGCAACUUUUGGAUGUUUUUAGUCACUGAAAUUUUUAACAUUAAUGAUUAAUUACAAGUAUGUGAAUGAAAACUUAUAAACAAAUUUUGUUUACAGGAAAAAUGUAACUGUGAAAGAAAGUAAAAGAGAGCAGAGAGACUAAAACCAGAGGAUUUCAUUCGUCAUUUCAUAACUAUAUUCCUAGUGCAACUGCGCAAGGUUGAGCAUUCAAAGUCCAUAAUUCUAAAUCAAAAUCACCAACAGACACCUGUACAUGAAAUACUCAGGCCUUUACUCUGGACUUAAGACCGCAUGUCUGAGAAAUUCGUCAGAUUCAUGUAGCAAAUGAAUUGCACAAGGAGGCAUAAAAAUUAGUAUAUUUUUCAAGGACCCAGCUUGAAAGCAAUGAACUAAAAAUUAAUACAUAAAAGUUCAAUUACACGUAAAGAAGGAUAAUAGUAAACUAUGGCCUAGCAAGAUGACGGAUGAAAGAAAACCAUGGCCAGCGCCAAUACGAAUUCAACCAAAGGAUUCAUCUUAAUUGCAGAUUCAUCUUCGUCUUCUCCUCGAUUGGAUGUUAUUGCUGGAUUUUCCUAUGUUCUGGUGCAAGUCUUAUUAAUUGUUGGACCACAAAGACCGAGAUUAUAACUCUUUUCAUCAAACCUGCCAAAUUGUUUUUUGUCUGGGAUCAGACCGGACAAGUUCUUAUAUGACUCGUUAAAGUUGGAUAAAUAGUUGAUUAUUGAUCAGAAGAUCACUAAUCAGAAAAUUUUUCAUUUAUGUUUGUGUAAAUUAUUCAUAAAAGUAUGGUCUACUCUGAAAUUACAAAAAUAAACAUAAUAAAUUUGAAUAAAGGAAAGGAAAAUGAGAAGCAAAACAGAGGAAUGCUAAGGAUAAAUAAGCUGAUUCAUCAGUAACUCAAUAUGGCGAUUGCACACAACUUUUGGAUGUUUUUAGCCUCUGAAAUUUCAAUAUGAAUGAUACAUUACAAAUAUGUGAAGCAAAACUUAGAAACCAAUUUUUGCUUACAGAGAAAAUGUUAAAAAACAAAUAAUGAUAAAAGAGUGCAGAGAAACUAAAAACAGAGGAUUUCACGGAUCAUAAUUUAUAAGUGAUAUUCCUAGUGCAAGGCUGAACAUAAAUCUUAGGUGUGCGAAUCAAGAUCAUUAACGAAGAGAUCACGCGUGUCCCAUGUAACUAACUUUGGCGUGAUGUAGGAUGGUUGCAUAGAAUGAGUAGGGUAUCUUUCAAAUGUCAUAACUUGGGCUACAAGUGUAACUAACAACGACGAUGCUCAAGUUUGGUUAUCGUCGAUGACUGCGGAUUGAUGUUCGUAGCUCCUCCUAUAUCAAGGAAAUGUCAUAAUUACUUUCCAAACAUAAGAAAUACAACUAUUUUAUGUGAUAUGAUUCACAAUAAAUAUUUAUCCCAUAGCUUAUAACUCUCGAAUCCAUUAUUUGUAAAUAAAAAUUACCCUAAUACUCUCAAAACCAUCAAUUGCACCUUAUGCUCAAAAUUUCAUAUUCCAGCUCAAUAAUUAAAUUUCCAUAUCCUAUAAUACUAAUAAAUCAGCCACAUUAUCGCCAAUCUCAUUAUUAGCCAUGAACUACCCAAACAUAAUAUAUAACAAUAAGCUAUUUACAUACCGAAUUGAGGAAAUAGUGAGCGCUACACAUUUUGGCUCUAAUGCCUUGGUGCCCUUGUGCACCUAAAAUGAUCCACCAAUUACUAAAAUUAGCUUGGGACUGACUACACCCAUUUGUUGGGAACCCUAACUAUAAAUAAAGUACACUAAUCUUUGAAUUAUUUUCAUUUUCAUGUAAAUGCAAUUUCAGGUAAAGAUAAAAUGAUAGAAAUCUUACUUCAUUUGGUAAGAAAUUCAACUUGAAAGCUUGAAUCCCUUCCCUCUCACUGAAAUCCUUUCUCUACACUUCCUACAUUUAAAUUCCUCUCCAAUGAAUUUCCAAAUGAACUUAGGGAUAAAAAUACUCUAGAAUGACUCUCGAAUCCAAGUUGUGCAAGACCAAACUCAAUUUUGGAAAAAUCCUAAAUCAUGAAAAUUUUCCCAUUGUCUUCCUCUCAUGCCCGUGAGCUUUUGCAAAGCAAUGGUAAGUGCUUUCUUUUUUAAUUCGCUUUAUAUAUAAAACUUAUUUUAUUUUUUUGUUUAUGGGCUUUUGAAAUAUCCAUUUAGGCCCAAUUAAAGAAAAUUAAUUUAUAUACAUUCGUAUUCAUAAGUUAUUAUUAAUAACUUGUAUAUACAAGUCAGGGCAGUACGCAAAUUUACUGAAUACAGAGUAAAGUUGUACUUUAAUUGGUGAACUCUGAAGGCACCAAUUAUAACAUCCAUUUCUAGCAUAUAUAUAUAUAUAUAUAUAUAUAUAUCAUGGAAAUCUGACAUGCUUAUACAGAUCACAUACAGGAUUCAGAGAUGAAGGGCAGCAAAGAUUGAUAAUUUUUGUUUUCCCCAAUCACCUUGAACAGAGUGAGAAGAAACCAUUAUUUCUAUAUGUGCAGUUCUUCCAUCCUAUUGUUAUUUAAUGGUUGUUAAAUAUAUAUUUGCAACCAACAGAAACUGCAGAAGAAACAGUAAGUCUAAUUUUAACGAAACCGCUCGAAGGAACUUCAAAACAUGAGCAUAGUUUUAGAACCAAAUUAAGAAUUUUAGCAAACACAUACACUGAUACAUAGCAGUUUGCAGAAAAGCUAACGGAAUACGUAACACAGCAUGACAAGUUAUACUCGCAGACCCGUAGGAACUUACUACAAUGGCCUAGCACAAUCACCGAUAGAAUGCAUAUUUGAAGAGCCAAUAGUAGCAUGUGUCAAUACAUUCAUCAAUGAAAUAGAACCACCGUCUACGCCAAUAGGAGUUUAUCCAAAGGACUGCAAACAAACCCAAAAUAACUGUCACAAAGGACGCGCCAAAACUCCAUUUUAAUGCCACCAUAUCAAUCAUCGAAUCGUCUUCUUCUUCUUCUGCUCCUUCUGUUGGUGUUGCUGGUGGUUUUAAUGCACUGCUGCAUUUCUUCCUUAUCAAGGAACCACAAAGCUCUGCUUCUACUGUUUGAUUUAUUGAGGCAUGUGGUUCAGUGGGCGGUUGAAGAUUAAGAGUAGAAUUGUAGAAAGUAGUAGCAAUAGAAUCGAUGUAGAAACCCUGAUACGCUGUGUAUUCAUCAAGCAAACCAUAGUCAUACAAAUAAUAAUUAGUUCAUUCUCUCCAGAAUGACACGUUACCCAAGCAUGAAGGUAUUGACCCACUAAAUAUGUUAUUUGAAAGAUCCAUGAUACGUAAUUUUGCUAACUGGCACAAUUCAUUAGGAAUAUGUCCUUGUAGAGAAUUCCCUCUUAAAAGAAGAACAUGCAAAUUCGAAAGCUCAUUGAUCUGAUAAGGAAUCCUACCAAAGAAUUUAUUAUCCCUCAAAUCUAGAGUGAUUAAUUUAGAGCUUCUAAACAAUGCAUUAGGAAUUUACCCAGUAAUAGCAUUCUUCUGCAAAUAAAGGUGUUUCACUGAUGAAAGAUUAAAGGAAGAUACCAUGGUCCCAGACAAACUAUUUUCAAAGAUGUCUAUAAGCUCAAGACUUUUAAGGUGGUUGAGUUGGACUGGAAUAUUAGCUUCCAAAUAAUUUUUUGACAUUAAAAGAACCCUAAGAGUUGAGAUGUUACCAAUCCAAUUAGGAAUAUUACCGGAUAUAUCUAACCCCUCUAAUGAAGUGGAGCUCCUCAAACCAUCAUCCAUCUUCCCACUGAAAUGAUUGUUGUCAAAAAUAAAUAAUUCAAAUGGGUCAAGUUCAUAUAUUUGGGAAAAAUUCGGCCAUAGAAAUUGUUAUUUGAUAGGUCUAACAAAUCUAGAGCGACGCAACCAGAGACUAUCGGUCAGGGUAAUUCUCCCAAAAAAUUAUUUCUAGAAAAAUCCAGCAUAUAUAACUCUUUCAUCUCACCUGUUGAAUAAGGAAUAUCACCUUCAAAAAUAUUUUUUGACAUAUCCAAAUAAAUCAAUUUCUGAAGGACAAUACCCAUAUUCCGUGGUAGCUUACCAGCGAAAUUGUUAUUGGAAAUAUCUAGAUGACGAAGCAUAUCGUGUUUGGCAUUGGGAUGUAGAUGAAGAAUUCCUGAGAGUGAGUUGUUCGCCAAAGACAAAUAGUUUUAUCUUGUGUUGUUUUGGAACAACCAAAUUGGGAAAUUGCCAACCAACUUAUUAUGAGAGAGGUCAAGGAAUUUUAAGUGGUCCUGUUGUAAAAGAAAACUUGGAAUGACAUGUAACUGGCAGUCGGAUAAUUUGAGAACCUUCAAUUGAGAUGUCGGGUGCCAGCUUUCGGUUUUCACUUGUAACAUAUUGCUUCCUGAUGAGAGUAACAAGACCUCGAGCUUUGAAUGAUUAGCCAAUGAAUUUAUUGAGAAUGUUCCUCGGAAAUUAAUGGAAGAGAGAUCCAAAUAUUCAAGUGAUGUGAAGUUGGUCAAGGUAGAAGGAAAGUUUCCACUUAAUUGAUUAUUAGAAAUAUCAAGAACUUUGAGAUGGGUCAAGUUAUUGAGACACUGAGGAAGGUGACCCUCAAAGUUAUUUGAGCUCAGAUCCUACUCAAAAAGAUUCCUCAAAUUACAUAUUUCUGAACCUGAAAAUAAAAGAUCAAAAUUUUAUAGAAUGGAAACUAAUCAUAGCGAAUUCGGUCAUAAUCCAAUACAAGACUUAAAAAACAGACAAAAAUCAAAUUGCCUAAUUAUUUUGGUCAGCACAAAUAAUAAUAGAGUAAUGUGAACUUAUUUCUCAUAUAAUAUGAUGUUGAUUGCAAAUGCGUUUCAAUAAUCUGAAAAAAGGGAAAAAAAAUGCCCUCAGCACUUUUUGCUUAUCAUAACCCUAAGUCCUUGUUUAUAAUUAUAAUUUUCUGAGGAAGAAUUUGUUCACGUGAUGUUGUUCAUUGGACAAUGGUUCUGUAACCUCUAUAAUGUAAAGAGAAACUCAUAAUAUUUUAGUUGUCUUCUUAAAUAAUAAAUUGUCUUAAAAUACAAUUAAUUUGUCUUAAAUUUAAUUUAUUCCUCAGCAUUCAAGGAAAAACAAAAACAAAAAAAAAAGAAAAAGAAAAAAGAAAUGGUCUUCAUAUAUAAUUCUGUCCAAGUACUUUGAUACACAAAUCAAUCGGAAGGUGGUGUAUCAGUAAUGCAAAUAUUUAAUUAUCAUGUUUCAACAUAACAAUUCUGUGUAAAUUGUUCGCUUUAGGUUUCUAGAGAACUGUUUAUAUUAUUAUUACUACUCAAAUUCAAUGCUUCCAAGUAUUUGAAUUUAAUUAGCUAAUCCUGUAUCAAGAAUUAAUGAACAUAAGAUAAAUGUCAUAUUAAUUAGAUUUAGAUUUUUUUUUUCCAGUUUUGACGUAUAGAUAUAAAUAAUACUUCAAAAGCAUUGAAAUGUAAGAGCUAUUAAAAAAUCGUUUUUCAUUCAAAGCUAUAAUUAAUGAAAUGAAGAUAGAUAUCAUUGUUCAUUUAAAAAAAAUUAAAUUCAGAAAAAAGAAAGAGCGAAAGAAAUGAGCAGGUUAUGUUAAUAAAUAGUGAGAGAGUAUGUCAAGGACUAAAAUUUAUUAAAGAAAGCAGUGGUUCUAAUUCAAAUUUGAUCAAGUUAGAAGUAGUCAAUUAUGCAUCGAGAAUCAAAAGAAUGAAGAAUGGGAAUUCAAAAUUAGCUUAAAAAUUAUAAUAAAGUGAUUAGUUAAGAUUCAAUUAAGCUGAUUUACUAAAAAAUAUUGAAAAAUAAAAGACCACAACAUUGCCAAAAAGACUAGGAAAUUAAGUAGGAAGGGGUGAUUGUUGCGGAAUACCUUGUAGUUAUUCCACAACCACGAAGACCAAUUGCUUUCAAGUAUUGCAAAUAUGCCAAUCCUACAUCAAUAAAAAGCAAAAUGUUACUUUAAAAUUAUUGUAGAAGACUGUGAUCAUUGUGAUAGAUCGGUAAUUUCAGUAGCUUACCUAGGCUUCUUAAAGAGCCGCUUGUUAGAUUGAGGUUCCAGGUUAGAUCCAACACUUGCAAGUUUCUCAAAUCUGCUAAUCCUGCUCAGUAAACAUUAAUUUUGAUAAAAACAAUAUGCAUAAAUAUUUUAAGAGAUUAACUUGCCUGGCAUGCAUUUCUGCCUCAAACAUAUUUACCGUGCUUGAUUCUGGAACCUUCAAUGUUAUUGGAACGAAGAUUCAGAGUGGUAAGUGAAGUUAGUGUAUUCAAAUAUGGUAAUAUGUUGUCGUUGAAGAAAUUACCACCAAGAUUUAAGAUCUUCAGCUGUUUCAAACUCCCAAAGCUGUCGUAAGCUGCAAAUGCAUAUGAAUUAUUAUCAUUAAUUAGUCACUGACAAAAUAAUUAUGAAUGAGUAAGAGAUACAUAUGCUUGUACCUUUAUUCUUAUAGAAGCCUUUAAACCAAUUUAUCAGAUAAGUCAAGGCGCUGCAGUUCUUCAAAAGGGUGAAAUAAUAAUGACAUAUUCAGAAAAGAAACUCCAUAAGAAUAAGAGUUAUAAUCAGAGUAGUUGAUUUUUGUUUUCUGAUUGAGUGAGAGUUGCGUCACCCGUAGGGUGGUGGCGUUGCACUUAACUCCCUCCCAGUCGUUGCAACAAUCAGACGACAUUCCAUCAUCAUCAAACCAUGAAGAAAGAAUUUCGUCAUCAAAUCCAACAUCACUGGCUGAUAUGAAGAAGCUCUUGAUUUCCAACAGAGCAAUCCUCUUCGUUUCCACGCAUGCUUUGUAUCCAUGUAACUGAAUCAAAGCCAUGCCAAUCCACAAUGACAACUUCAUCAAAAGCAUUUUCAUUUUUAAUAUUAACUGCUAGAGAAACACUCACAAGAUUGACCUGUCAAUUGUUGCUCUCUUGAAUUUUUUCUGGUUCCAUAGCAAAUAUAUGACUUAUAUAUAUACAAUGGAAAUUUUGCGCAGAAUGAAAAUUUUGCACAUUUUCACGUGCCAUGUCAAUGAGAAAACAUGCAUGGAUAGAAAAAAGUAGGUGAGAGAAUGUUACCUGUUGAUACAUGUUAUCUGCUUGUGACUUUAGUACCGUCCAAAGAAAUUGAAAUGUGAAAUAAUUGAAGAUGCAAAUUGGUUGAUUUCACGGGCCUGGCCUCUGGCAAAGUGAAAUGUUGGCCACGCACUAUACCAGUAAAGUGUCAACAUUGUAGCAUAAGGAAAUUGCGGCAUCUCAGCUGGAUUUUGAGAGUCACUAUUUCGUAUAAUCAGUCCCAUUUGUUCGUGGGGACUCACAUUCUGUCCUAUUGUGGACUCACAAAUAUUUAACAUGAUUUUGAUAUUUUGAUAACUACUUAAACCGCAUUUCCUUGAUAAUUAAAGAAAAAGAGAAGUGAAUGAAGCAAAAGAUACUGAUGACCAUAAUUAUGUAAAUAAAUACAAGACUUUACAAUAGAUUAGACCACCAAUUUGUGCUUUUUCGUCCAAAAAUAAUGCAUCUGCUUUAACAAGAUACGAGUGAAUUGGGGCAUAUCUUUCUUUCAUAAUGUAAACUUGCCAAAAUACAUGUAAUCUGCUGGUGAAAUAAUUUUAUAAAACAAAGGCUUAAAGUUAAAGCUGACUAAAAAUAUUGGUGUACGUCAAGAACGCUACGGGGAAAAUUUAACCGCGAGCUGCAGUCUGCAGUCCCCAGCAAUCCGGGAAAAGGCUGAGGUGGUGCGGGCCUGCCCACUAAUUUGGCAGGUCUGAUGGGAUUUAUAAAUAAAAAUAAUGUAAUUUUAUAUAUUUUUUAAAUAAAAAAUUUGUUGAUGCCGUUGUGAGAUCCAUUGGAUCCAAGGUCUUGAAGAGGAAAGAUCACUAUGGCUGCAAGGUCUGGAAGAGGCAAGUCCAAUAAAGCCAAGGCUGACAAGAAGAAGAAAGAAGAGAAAGGUUUCAAUUGUUAAGCCUUAUUAUUCACUUCUUUCAUUGGAAAGUGCUUUUUGUAAAGUGCUUUUGCAGUCUAGCUUCCGUAUGUUCAUUGAUUUCUUUUGUUGUGCAGUAGUACCCAGUGUUCUUGAUAUCACAAUCAUCACCCCAUAUGAAUCACAAGUUGUUCUCAAGGUAUACAUAUAUACUUAUCAUUAAUACUUUCUCGUUUUGCCCUCACCAGCUAUUAUUAGGAUAUUAUUUUGUAAAACUUUAUAAAUAUAAAUGAAUUAUUAAUUAAUCAUCUUUUUCUUGUUUGAUUGAAAUUUGCUCGAAGGGCAUCUCCACUGACAAGAUACUUGAUGUGAAAAAAUUGUUGGCUUCCAAUGUAGAAACUUGCCACCUCACAAAUUAUUCUCUCUCUCACGAGGUAUAUAUAUAUAUAUUUUAUUAUCUCUCUUUUUUUUAAUUAUAUAAGAUUAUGAAUAAUGAUAUUAAGCACUAGAUACUAUUUUUUUCCACCUUAUUUUUAUUUGUUUAUUUCUUUAUGAUAUUAAUGCAUUAUUAGUUGUUUUUUUUUAUCAGGUCAAGGGGUAGAAAUUGAAUGAUAGAGUAGAGGUUGUUACUCUGAAGCCCUGUUUGCUCAGAAUGGUUGAAGGUAGGUGAAGCUCUCUCGUGUCAAAAUUUCUGAAUUAAAAAGUCUCAUGCAUGUGGAUGUGGGUCUCAUCUUAUUUGUUAUUUUUAAGAGUUCUGCUAUUUACCUCGGGUUAAACCCCGAAAGCUAAAACAAAACGACGUCGUUUCCUCUUCUUCAUGAAACGCUACCGUUUCACCCUAGCAAAAGCAAACGUUCCUCUCCUCUUCAUUUUCGUCUUCCUCUCCUGACUCCUCUUCGUUUCACCAGGGAACGACAUUCGUUUUGUUCGUUUUGUUUAAGAUCCAAAUCAAAGAAAUUUCCUUUUAAACAAAUCUGCCAUUUGUUUUCUCCUUUGAAAUUUCCUCUUAAAAAAUCUGCCAUUCGCGCAGGCAUGGUCACCGUCAACGUGGCAGGCAUCACGCGCAUCUCUCAUUGAACUCAUGAAGCGUCACAGUUAUCACAGCCGCAGGUAAUGCUUUGAUCUUUAGCUUUUCUAGGUUACGGUAAAAUGGGGGCAAUUUUGAUAGCUAUCAUCAUUUCCGUUUUAUUUAAUUUUCAGUUGAAAUAGAAUGUUAAGGAAAUAAGUGUGUUAAAUUGCAAUUGGUUUGUAAUUUAUGCUAAAUUGGUCUGCAAUUUGUGCUUGAGUUGGUCUGCAAUUUGUGCUUGAAUUGGUUUGCAUUUGUGCUGAAUUGGUCAGGAAUUUGUGCUGAAUUGGUCUGCAAUUUGUGCUGAAUUGGUCUGUAAUUUGUGCAGAAUUGGUCUGUAAUUUGUGCUUGAAUUGGUCUGCAAUUUGUGCUUAAAUUGGUCUGGAAUCACCAAAUAGUCCAGAAUUGUUGAUGUAACUUUUACAACUCUUAUAAAUAAUAGAAAGCAAGUUAAUUAGAAGCACCAAAAUAGUUCAGAAUCACCAAAAUAGAAGCACUAAAAUAGUCCAAAAUUGUUGAUUUUGUGGACACACACAGACACACACACAGGGAGAGAGAGACACGCACAGAGAGAGAGAGAGAGAGAGAGAGAGAGACACACACACACACACACACACACUGACACACACACACAGACACACACACAAAGAGACACACAAACACAGACACAGACACACACAUACACACAGCUUUGUUCAGCCCACUUUAGUAGCAAAUUCAAAUACCAAGAAACUGAGUUGGCCUUAUAAAACAUUGUUCUGGUUUUCUUUUCAUUAUUAACUGUAAUUGUAUCCCUUUUUGAGCUGUUUCUUUCCAACGGUCUAUGGCUUUACAAAUAAUGUCAUCCAACACAACCGAGAAUUGAAUCUCAUUGCAAAUGUGUAAUGGAUGUGGUGAUCAGAUGGAGCUGUUAACGUCACGCACAACAAAAAAUCCAAAUUGCAAAUUUUGGAUUUGUAGAGGAUGUAACAACUUUCAAUGGGCAGAAGAUCGUAAAUCUAGCGAAGAGAAAAUAGACUUGUUAGCGGAUGAGGUUAGGAAGUUGGCCUUGGAGAUUGAGUGUUUGUCCGUUAAAUUUCAACUAUUGCAUAAAGAACUUGAGCAUAUGUGAGAUCGUGAAGUGCAGAGGCGAUUGUUGGACGAUGAACUUCGAAAGAGAGAGGCACUACGAUAUGAUUUUAUUAAAUUAAUCAUGAUUGUUGUAUUAUGUUUUCUAUUCAAGUAUUGUUUUUAAGUUGUUUCAAUUUGUACUAUGUUACUGGAAAAGACUUGUAUUGUAGAAUUUGACCACUAUAUGUAAUAGCAUUUUCAUGUUAAAUAUAAGUUUUCGAUUGUUUGAAUUAAUUCAAAGUAUUCUGAAUUUAGAAUUUGACCCCCAGAAUACUUCUCAAAAUUAUACUAUGUCCCAACUCAUUCCAAUAUGUUCCAAAUAGAUCCAUUUUCAGAAUUUACAAAGUCUAAAAUUUAAAAAAUAUCGAAAUACACAUACACCAAGUUACAUUAGCUUUACAAUAAUACAUAAAACAUAAGCUAACUUUGUUGAUUCGUCAAGCCAAUUCCAAUGAACUUCGAUCAUGUGCUUGGUUCAUUAGUUGAAAACUCCCCUCGAUUGGCCUCCUCGAAAUUUUGUUGCGGAAAAUAUUGCAAGUUUGCGUGAUGGACUCCGCUGUAAUUCAUCCAAGACUGAUAAUAAGGGAGGAAAAAUGCAUGUUCUAGGGGUGCUUGCUGUGCUAGCUGUUAUACAAAAAAAAAAAAUUAUAUACAAAUUAUCAAACAUAUGACAAUGAAUGUAAAUAGCAAAAAAAAAAAAAUAUUACCAUAGCCAUAUGGCUCUCUUGUGUUGGGAUUGUAGUAGCCACUUGAGAAGAAAAAUCAUGUAUCUCCGAGUCCUAGAAAUAUGGUUAACACACAUUUAAAGUAUAUAUUAAAUUUAUUUAAAAUGAAUGUAUUAAAUAUAAAUGCAAUCAACAUACAUUUAAAGUAUACAUUAAAUUAAUUUAAAAUGAAUGUAUUAAAGUAAUUACCUCUACAGUUGUGCUUGUCGAAGCAUUAUUCGACUUCUGUUUUGGCCUCUUAAAUUGCUUUUGCUUUCUUUGACUAGGUGGACGAUCUUUACGCCGAGUUACUACUGGAUCAUAUAUAAUUUUGAUACAGCUUCCUGAUCCACUAUAAAUGGUUGUAUCGUGACCGUCACUUCGAACAUUCAGAGAUACAUCCUCCAUUGCUUUCUCGAUCCAACCCAUAAUAUUUUUAUGGCUUUCUUCAUUUUUUGAAGUUACCUCAGCAACAUCAUAAAAAUCAGUGCACUCCUCUUUAUAUCGCUGAUGUUCAAUGCUCGAACUUCGUGCAUCAUAAUUGACUUUGACUUUACUAUAGAAUCUCCGCACAUCUUUCCUCUAUCUUCGUAGAAUAUACUUUUCAGGCAGUAAUUGUAUACGGUUACGUGACAACACUGCGAUGGCGUGUCUGCAAAGAAUGCCCUUAUAUUCAAACAUUGAACACACACAAUGAACUUCACCCUCAUCUUUUGCAAAAAUGACUUGAAAAGUAUUUUCUCUACUAUUUUCAUCGUUUUCAAUAACUUCAUAUUCUAAUCCACCACAACUGAAAACCUCACAAUAUAUCUUAUUCACCAGCUCUUGCUGAAAUUCUUGAAACUUGGAAAUAGUGUACACUUCUUCAACUUGCUUCUCCAUUGCAAAACUGGUACGACAUGGCAUCCGUUGGCUAAAACACCUAACAUCCGCUUGCCAUUCUUUCUCAAUUUUACUUUCCAUUGCUUUCUCAUAUUUCUCCACAAAUUGCUUCAAAGUUGUUUUCGAGUUAACAUACCCAUCAAAGAAAGCAUUCAUACUUUCACUACGCUGAGUGGUUGGCAUUCCAGCCCAAAAAGAAGUUUUUACGAAACAUGGAACCCAACGAUUUCUUUCCUCAUAUAAACCAUUUAACCACUGAUUACUAAGAUCAUAUUUAUCUAACAUGUCAUGCCAAGCUUUCUCGAAUUCAACAGGAGUAUAUGAAUCAUAAACAAUAGAAUGUAAUGAAACUCUAAUGGCAUGAUAUUCAACAUACCUUCCUAACUUCUCAGGCACCUUUUUCAGUAUAUGCCAUAAACACCAUCGGUGCCUAGUGUUUGGAAAAACAAUCUCAAUCGCAUUUUUCAUCUCUUUGUCUUGAUCUGUAAUGAUUCCAAGGGGAGGAGAGCCAGACAUGCAUGAUAGCCAUGUGUCAAAUAUCCACGAAAAUGUCUCCGUGUCCUCAUGCGAAAUCAACCCACAUCCUAACAAAAUUGAUUGACCAUGAUGAUUAAUUCCUACAAAAGGAGCAAAUGACAUGUCAUACUUGUUUGUAAGGUAUGUGGUAUCAAAUGUGACCAUAUCUCCAAAGUUUUUAUAGGCUGCCUUACUCCUUGGAUCGGCCCAAUAUACAUUUUUUAACCGGCCCUCCUUAUUUAGGUCAAGACUGAAGAAAAACCCAUCAUUUUCUGUUUGCAUUUUCUUAAAAUGUCUCUGAAUUGCAACAACAUCCCCUUCUCCGAGCCUUAAUCGCCUCACCUUGUCAAUAUGAUUUCUAGCAUCUUUUUCUAAGAAUGAGACAUUUUCAAAGCCACCAGCCUCAACAACAAUCGACUUAAAACUUUGAGCCAUUUUAAUUCCAGCUUCAUCAUUUAUUUCAAGCUGCUUUUUAACAAAAGGACUAAUGGUACGGUUGCAUCGAUAAUACCUACUCUUGCUCGGACUCACGGCACGGUUGUGUUCAAGGAUCAUAUUUCCAAUUACCCAUUUUCUACUAACAAAAUCCAAACGUCCUCCAAGUUUAGCAUUGCAUUCAAUUUUUUGGUUUGGUUGAAGCCGCAAAACAUUAGUGCUUUUGGCUUUUGAAUUGCCAUUUCGCCCACAAGUAAAUGUCACAUAUCUCAAACUCCCAUCAUCCCCUUUUCUACAAGAUCUCCACAUCACUGGAAACCCCUCUUAUAGGCCAUAAGCCUUAUAAUAUUCAAACAUUUCAUCAGAACUAUUAAAAGACAUCCCAACUGCUGGCUCAACAACUUUUUCCACCACCAAUUCCUCAUUAUUUUCUUCCAAAUCAGCCCCCUGCAAAUCCUGCAAUUCUUUAACUUCAUCAACCUCCUCCACUUACUUCAAAUUAUCCAUUAACUGCUGCAAAUUAAAACAAUUCAAUAUAUUAUUAUUUAUUUUUCGUGAAUUCAUUAAAUUUAGAAUAAAAAAAUUAAAAACAAAAUGAAACAACUACUGAAGAUUCAAAUUUAAACAAUUCAAGCUUGUUGUAAAAGCAUCGCAAUUGGAAACUGAAAAUGUCAAAUAACGGCAAGCCGCAAAACAUUAACUAAUAGAAGUCCGUAGGCAUAAUUAAUACUCAAAUAACUUCAAAGUGUGGUUGAGCCAGACUAAGUUUAACUUAUAGCUAGCUCAAGCGAAAAUAUUGUAGGUCUUACAUGCGCAUGAGCGAAUUCCAACAAAAACAAGUUCAUGACUUACCACAAACUCAAACGUUAAUUCAUGUUGAUGCUAUCUCCAACUUAUCUAUUUAGGUUACGAACUAUAUUCUCAGCAGGGGUUAAAUUAUCUUCUCGAUUGAAUAUAAAGAAGAGAACAUUUGUAUACUCAAAUAUCUUCGUAAUCGAAAAUGAGAUAGAAAUUCGAAAACAAAGUUUAAUACAAACAUGACAACAAAAAUGAGUCAAAAAUUCGUAGUCGAAACUGAAACUUCGAAAAUUUGAAGAUUCGAAAACAAAAUGCUGCCAAAAGAAAACAGUACCUUAGCUUGUGCAAAGCCACGUAUAAUCGAAACUGGAAUCUGUAAAUGCCGAAACUUAGUCUUAUGUCAGAAAAAUUUAACAGCUGCUGUUAAUGCCGAUGAGGUUAGGAAUCAUGGACAAUGUCGAGACUCUAUCUUGUUCAAGCUUCUGCUUUUGCCUUGUUUGAGCCAAAUCUUAUCACCUUCGAGGAAUAUAAGAGCUUAAAGAUUUUGCAUUUCACUCGGGUGUGGUGAAUCGAAGAGGAAGAGCUUAAAGAUUUUGCGUUUUUCUCAGUUCAUAAAGUAGCUGUUUCUUUGCGUUUUUUCUGCUUUAGUUGGUUUUGUUUUUACUAGGCUGAAACGACUACGUUUCAUGGAAGCAAAAAGGAAAAAAAAAAGAAAGAAACCAAAACGGCAUCGUUUUGGUUUAAUUCGGGGUUUGACGCGGGGAAAGUAGCAUUUUCCUAUUUUUAAUUGUUAACAUUUAGAUCUUUUUAGUUCUACAUCCAUAGCCAAACUAUUUUAAGUAAACUAUAUUCAUUUUAUUGUAUGUUUUUUAAGAAUUUUUUAAUUCGAAAUAAUUUUUUUAAUAUUGUUGAAAAAGACAGGUUAAAGUAAAAAAAUUAUUGACUAAAUAAAUAAAUAAAUGACAUUAUUUUAUUUUUUAACAUUAAAAAAAACCAAUUUGAUGCAGUCCACUUAGUCCUGCACACUUGGAACGUUACCAUGCUUUUUAGUGCUGUACAUUUUGGACUCAAUUGUCCUUGUCAUUUCAAGUAAAAGUUGAAGCCGUCUCAAAAGUAAAAUAAUAGGGUCCGCCUAAGUUACAUUUAACGUAACUUACGGCUGACCCGCAAAAUAUCAUUAAUCCCCCUAUACUCUAUGUUAUUUACAAUAUAUUUAUAAGUAUUAUAAAAUUUUCUGUAUUGUAAAAUUUCGUUGAACCUCUUGUACUCUGUUUUAUUUUAAUGAAACUCUUGGAGUACGAAUUUGCCCCCUAUAAUUUUAAAUUCCCAAAAUACCCUACAGUUAAUUAAAAAUAUAAUAAUAAUUAAAUAAAUUAUAAUUAUAAUAAUUAUUUUAUUAUAAUUAUAAUAAUUAUUUUAUUAUAAUUAUAAUAAUUAUUUUAUUAUAAUUAUAAUAAUUAUUUUAUUAUUUUAUUAUAAUUAUAAUAAUUAUUUUAUUAUAAUUAUAAUAAUUAUUUUAUUAUAAUUAUAAUUUUUUAAUGGAUUAUUAUUAUUAUUAUUAACAAGAAUAAAAAGUAUUAUAACUAAUUAAUUUUUAGUUAAAAUGUUAAUAAUAACAUUAACAAUAACUAUUAUUGAUAAUUAAUUUUUGAAUAAUAAUAACAGUAACAAUAACAAUAAUUAAAAUACAAAAGAAUAAUUAUGAUAAAAAUUAAUGAAGGAUUUUAUAAUAAUUUGUUACAAUUUAAUUUAUUCUGAUUUUGAUUUUAAGACAAAGUAAACAAAUAAAUGGUAAUACAGCUCAUUCUAAUUAUGAUUCAUGCCGUUCAAAUAAAUAAAUUAUUAUGAUUCCAAUUCUUUAUUUGGAUUCUAGAUAUGUCGAUUCUAACUUAUUAUGUUUUCAGUAAAUUUUGAUUUAUGUUUAGUGAAUGCACUAUAAAAUUCAUAAUACUUAUAAAAAAUUGUAAAUAAUAUAGAGUGGUCUAAUUGAAUAUAAAGUGAUUUACAAUUUUAUAGUGCAUUCACUAAAAAUGAAUCGAAAUUAGUUGGAAACAUAAUGAGUUAAAAUUGGAUUAGCUAGAAUUAAAAUGAAAAAUUGAAAUCAGAAUAAUUUAUUUACUUGAACUGCAUGAAUCCUAAUUAGAAUAAACUGUAUUACCAUUUAUGUGUUUACUUUGUCUUAGAAUCAAUAUCGAAAUGAGUUAAAUUGUAACAAAUUACUAUAAAAUUCUUAAUUAAUUUAUUAUAAUUAUUACUUUGUAUUUUAAUUAUUGUUAUUGUUAUUAUUCGUCAAAAAUUAAUUAUUAAUAGUAAUUAUUGUUAAUUAUUAUUAUUGAUAUUUUAACUAAAAAUUAUUGUUAAUUAUUGUUAAUAGAUUAAUUAAUUAUAAUACUUUUUAUUGUUGUUGUUAAUAAUAAUAAUAAUCCAUUUAAAAAUUAUAAUUUUAUUUAUAAUUAUAAUAAAAUAAUUAUUAUAAUUAUAAUUUAUUUAAUAAGUAUUAUAUUUUUAAUUAAAUGUAGGGUAUUUUGAGAACUUAAAAUUAUAGGGGGCAAAUUCAUACUCCAAGAGUUUCAUUAAAAUAAAACAGAGUACAAGAGGUUCAACGAAAUUUUACAAUACAGAAAAUUUUAUAAUAUUUAUAAAUAAAUUGUAAAUAAUAUAGAGUAUAGAGGGAUUAAUGAUAUUUUGCGAGUGUUGGGUUAAAUGUAACUGAUCCAAAAUAAUAAUGUGCAAUUAAGUAACUGGCCUAAACUUUAGAAAUUUCAGAAGUUACAGUAUACGCAGGUCACAUCUAGGACCAUUAUUAGUUUAAUCAUUAAAUGACAAAAUUUUGCCAAUCUUGAGGGGGCUACUUAAAAAUGCAAGCAUCUCGUCCCUUGCCUGCUUCAUAGAUGCUCUUACUCACCCCCCCCGUCAUCUCACUUGUGCAAACCAAAGAAAAAAGAAAGAUUAUUAUUUUCCAUUUAUUACACAAAAAACAAUAAUUCCUUUUUAUUGCUCCAUGUUUAUUAUUUUAUUCUAUUUCUCCAGAAUCUCUCUUUAUCAAUUAAAUUUAUGAUAUAGAUAUUGAAGAUUUGCUUAAAUCAGAAAACUUGUUCAUAUUUCUGGUCAAUAUAAUACAUCCCUUAAAAGGUAAAAAUAGGGAAAAAAAAAAACAAGAAUGAUGAUUUUUUUUUUUUUUUUGGUUUUGACUGUUCUAGACAAUAAAGAAAUAUUUUGAAAGGGUCGGAGAUUACAAUGAAUCUAUACACUUGUGGAAAUAUUUUUAAGGCAUAAAUAAGUGCAACUUGAGAGCAUUUUGUUUUUUGUUCCACUAUAUAUUUUUAUACAACUGCCGCCUUAGAUUGGGUGCAUCACUUCAUUAUAUAAUCAGUAAAAAUUAAUUAUAUAAAUGGAAUCAUUCUCUAUUACAAUUAUUCGACUUCAUGAAGUAACAACUGAUGUUUUUUACCACAUUGUCAAAAGAGUUCAACUUUUAUUUGAGAAUACACCAUAUAAAAGAAAAAGAAAAAAAUAAAAACAAGAGUACACCAUAGAAAAGAAAAAAAUAAAACAAGUUUUAGAAUUAGUAGAUUAGAAUUGUUAUAAGAAAGAGUUGUCCCUAUAACUUCAAUAAGCUAGCCAUGUUUCUGAAGUUUGUUUUACUACCCUUACCAAACUUUUUCUAGUUGAUAUUAAUAACUUUAGUUUAGUAAACAGAAGCAAGAAGGUUAGAAUUAAUAACUUUAUCGUGAAUAAUUAAUAUGAUUACAGUUUAAUAAAAUUAUAUGUAAAGGCUUAUUUAAAGAGCGAAAAUUUUAUUUUUUUAUCAUUCUUUAGUGCUUAUAAUUAUAAUUUAAUCUAGAAGUAUUUUAAUUGUAAAAAUUAUUUAAAAAAAUAAGUUUGACGAAUAGUUUAGAGCUUAUAAUUAUUUUCUACUUAUAAUUAAGUUAAUAUUUAAUAGAAAGAACUAAAAUAAUAAAAGCAAAAACCUUUUCCGGCAAUUCCUUGUUAUUUACAUUUUUGGCACUGUCCUUGACAGAGGACUACACCGAGGAAUCUCAGGCCGUGGCACACGUGCGGCGGCUUCUCGACAUCGUCGCGUGCACCACACGGUUCUCCAAGUCCAGAAACUCCCGAUUGCCGCCAUCGUCAGAGUCAUGUGCCAAAAAGAACGACAGUAGGCCCCACCAACCUUCACCAAACUCUGCCGCUCUGUCUGAUGGAGCAGCAACAGCAGCAGCAGAUAACCGAAGCGGGCCCCGCGCCACGUCAUCGCCAAUUUCAUCGGCGGUUUCUCCGAGUCUGGACAUGGCAGCCAUUCACCCGACGCCGAAACUCUCCGAGUUUUACGACUUCUUCUCUUUCUCUCACCUCACUCCCCCCGUCUUAAGUAAGCCUAAUGUUCAUUUAUAUAUUUGUCUUCGUUUCUUACAUGGUUGAUCAAAAAAAAAAAAAAAAGAAAAGAAAGAGGAAAAUGAUAUAAAUAUAUGUGAUUUAUUUGAAUAUGAAAUUUGUUUAUUGAUUUUAAUUUUUAAUAAUUUUGAUUUUGAAGAUUUGAGAAAAUGUGAACGCAAAGAAGGAGACAAGCGCGACAGUGAUUAUUUUGAAAUUCAGGUGCCAUUUAAUAUAAAGUUCUGAUUAUUGUUGUUUGUUGUUUAUGGACUAAUUAAUUGUAGAGUUAUUCAACUCGUUAUUUUUGCUGAUGAAUUGGCCAAUGAGUGUUAAAGAUUUAAUAAUCAUUGUCCGCUAAUUAAUAAGAAUGCAUGGAUUAUUUUCAUGUCUUUGUAAGUAAUGUGAGUAUUUGAAAGUGCGGGAAACUGUAUUUUGUGCUUACAGAUAAAAAUCUGCAAUGGAAAGCUUAUACAAGUAGUUGCAUCAGUAAAAGGGUUCUAUACUUUGGGAAAGCAGUUUUUCCAAAGCAACUCCCUGGUGGAUCUUCUGCAAAAUCUCAGUCGAGCUUUUGCCAAUGUGGGUACUCAAUAGUUGAAUCUACAGAUUAUUUUUUUCUUUUUUAUCUGAAUGCAUCUUUUUUUCCUUUGUAAAUUCAAUUAGCUUACCCUUCAAUUGUUUUGUUAAUAAUUAUGGUCAUUAUGCGUGAUGCAGGCAUAUGAAUCCUUAAUGAAAGCUUUUGUUGAACAUAAUAAGGUUACAAUUUCUGUGCUGACAUAGUUUAUUACCAAUUCAAAUGUGAUUUUAACUUGAUUUUACUGAUAUAGUAUAUUCAUUAUCCUUCUUCAGUUUGGUAAUCUUCCCUAUGGAUUUCGAGCUAAUACAUGGCUUGUACCUCCAUCUGUUGCUGAGUCUCCAUCAAAUUUCCCUUGCCUACCGGCAGAAGAUGAGAAUUGGGGUGGCAAUGGCGGAGGCCAGGGAAGAGAUGGAGAACAUGAUUUACGACCAUGGGCGACGGAAUUUGCUAUACUGGCUAGGCUUCCUUGCAAAACUGAAGAGGAGAGGGUGGUUAGAGAUCGGAAGGCCUUUUUGCUUCAUAACCAAUUUGUUGAUGUCUCAAUUUUUAAAGCUGUUGGAGCAAUACGCCGUCUCAUUGAUUCAAAUUUACACACUCAAGAUACAAUAAAGGGGGCAAUCUUGCAUGAAGAUCGUGUGGGAGACUUGUCCAUUACAGUAAAACGUGAUACAGUAGAUGCAAACUUGAAGUCUGAGGUUACUAUUAAAGGAAAUCAGUUAUCUGGUAUGUCUACUGCAGAAGUUGCUCAAAGGAAUUUACUAAAAGGUGUUACUGCAGAUGAGAGUGUAGUUGUUCACGUAAGUCGAUUUCUCCUUUACUUCUUACGCUUACGUUCACAGACCACACACAUAAAAGACAUUCAUCAAAGCUGAAAUUACUUACGUGGGCGGAAUAAUAUAGCUCCGGAAUAAUAUAGCUCUACCUUUGUCAGGGAGUGAUUUUUCUGUCGGAUUAAGAUGUUUCACUCUUUAUCUGAUAUCUAGCAUUUGAUGAUGGCCUAAAAUACCCAUCCUCUUCAUUCUCUCUUUCUACACAUUUAUGAAUGCACAAGAAAGUCAAUUUUAGUUUCUUUCCUAAGAAUCACUACUUGUUACUAACCUUAUAUAUCUGGUUUAGCUUCAUGAAUCUUUUGUUGCCAUUCUGUUUGGUGACUCCCUAUUCUGUUGAAAUCACUUGAUAGCAGGUCUUUCUACCCAUUAUCCAUAUCCCUCUGAUUUUCUACUUGUAGUUUGCGCCAGCUUAAUGUCAUCAACCCUUUUUGGGGAAGCCUAUUAACCUUGGUUGGGCAUGCUUGUAUUAUAUCAACUAGUGAUACAAUUGCUAAAGUUUUCAGCAUGGUAGAUCUUGAAAUAAAAUUUUCUUGAAAUAUCUAGAUUUAUCUUCCUUUUCUUUUUCUCUUUCUUUUAUUUUAGUUUCAAAGAUUUUGUUAUAAAGAGAACUGAACAAUAUAGUUUUUGGCAGGAUACCUCCUCAUUGGGUACCGUCAUUGUAAGACACUGUGGAUACACCGCCGUAGUAAAGGUUGUUGGUGAUGUGACGGAGAAGUUUGGCACACAAGAUAUUGAAAUUGAAGAUCAACCUGAUGGAGGAGCUAAUUCUCUUAAUAUUAACAGGUCUGAAAUUGUAACACAAUGCUUCCUCUGUCGAUUCCUCUUAGCACACAAAGACUAGGAAAUCUACAGAUGGAGAAUGGCUGUAAGAUAUGAAAAAUUAUCUUUCAACCACUAACCGUUUUAAGCUAUUCUGCAAGAUAUCUUAGAAAUGCUAACUGGUAUGAGCUUCUUUGCUUAGUGUCUAUCACAGUUGAAUUCAUGAUGCAGAGCAUUGUUAUUCUCCUUAUUUUUACCAGAUAGAACAGGAUUGAAACGGUGGUGUUGGGGAUUCUUAAGAAAGGAUAGCACCUGCUCCUUUUUCUUUCUGUUUAGAUGGGAUCUAAUCAGUAGAUGUCUGAACUCUUAAGGGGAUUUGAUGUCAGAUUUCUAAACCAGGUUUUCUUCAAGUGUUAAGUUUAUGAAUAGGCCAAAGAAAAGAAAGCUGAUAUCUAGUUAGGGAUAUGUACUCCUCUUUCAGCAUCCUAUGGACCAGAAAAUGGCUUUUCCUCCAUUAAAAUAUGUGUGAGAUUCUUCACUGUAUGGGGAUGCUUCACCUCUGCAUAGUUGUAGACCACCUAAAAAAUAACGAGUGGUUGCAGGAAACAUUAAGUCAUGGCUUUCACAAUAAUGGUGGAGUGUUUAUAGUUAUGUGCCUUGACAUUGGUUUGUAAUUGUUAUAUUAACAAAAUAACCAACAGACAUCGUUGAUGAUGUUCAAAUAAAGGAUAAAGGAAAGUAUAAUUACAGUGGAUGCUCAGUUGCUGAAAUAGGUCAUCAGCUUUUUGGAUUGUGCUAUUUCAGAAAGUAUUUAGACCUUCUUUGGUGGAUUCUGCCUUUGUUUCAUAUACUCUUAUAUCUUUCUCCAUUUAAGUUGUUCUGACAGGGUAAACUAUUUAUUGCAGCUUAAGGCUUGUACUUCAGAAGUCUUUCAGUGCUGAAUCAGCUAGAGGAGACCAGUCACCUCUGUGCAAUUUGGAUAAUUCAGAAGCUCUUAGAAGUCUUGUACGAAGAGUUAUUAAACAGAGUUUAGCAAAGCUAGAGCUGGAGCCAACUGCGUCAGAAAGAUCUAUUAGAUGGGAACUUGGUUCUUGUUGGGUGCAACAUCUACAAAAGCAGGAAACCCCAACAGAUAUCAAGUCAACGACGUCUGGGGAUGAUAUUGAGACUGAACAUGCUGUCAAAGGUCUUGGGAAGCAAUUUAAAUUUUUGAAGAAGAGGGAGAACAGACCUAACCUUGUUGGUAGCAAUUAUGAGGCUAACGAAGAUGACAAUGGACCGUGCAGCAUGAAUGUGGGAACUAAUGGCAGACAGCAAAGCAAUGGCGAGCUCAAUUGUGAGAUGGAAUUGAAAAAACUAAUUUCUGAAGAAUCCUUCUUGCGAUUGAAAGAAACUGGCACUGGCCUUCAUUCAAAGGUUGCAAAAUCUCAAAUUUGUUUUGUAUUUCAACUGUAAAGUUUGCUACUUUUUGUGUUUUCAUUAUGGUAAAUUUGGUUUGUUUUAUUUUCAUAAGGAAUGACUGGUAAAAUCAAUUUCUUGUGCAGGCAGUGGAUGAGCUUAUGAAAAUGACAUACAAAUAUUAUGAUGACAUUGCUUUACCAAAGCUGGUACUAUUUAAUUUAUUUAGGGCCUUUGUUGCAGCCAAUUUAGACGUGUGGGGAUGGUUUAUGGACUAAUUUGCAUUCUUUAUUAGGUAACAGACUUUGGAUCACUUGAACUUUCUCCGGUUGAUGGCCGCACACUGACAGACUUUAUGCAUUUAAGGGGACUACAAAUGCGCUCUUUAGGUCGCGUGGUGAGGAAUUUCUCCCUCUCUUUCUCUCUCAGACAUGCAACCUAUUCACCCGUGGAAAUCGGAAUAAACAAAUGUUGUCUUUCUUUAUGUAAACAAAACCCCUAAGUUAUCUUUCUAUAUGUAAACAAUCUCCCCAAGUCUUCCUGGAUUGAAUUAUCAAUGUUCCUUUUUGAAAAUUGUACUACAUGAUAGAAUUUUUGACAUGGUGAACUUUUCCAAGAUAUUGAAUUAUUGUCGUCUUUAGAUAUUACUGUAUGUUGUGUGACAUACAAUAUUUUGAGAAAUUGACAUGCUAAUACUUGAAAGCCUGGUAUUCUUCUUCUGUUGGUUCUAAUCCCAUUUACAAAUUCAGGUUGAACUUGCAGAGAAGCUUCCUCACAUACAAUCACUUUGUAUUCAUGAGAUGGUUACUCGAGCGUUCAAGCAUGUACUUAAAGGAGUCAUCGCAUCCGUUGACUAUUUAUCAGACCUAUCUGCAGCUAUAGCUUCUUCCCUAAAUUUCUUAUUUGGCUGUUGUGAGAUGGAAGAUGACCAAAGCUUGAAUGAAGAUCAUAUCCUUAGAUUGCAGUGGCUACGAACAUUUCUUGGCAGAAGAUUUGGUUGGUCCCUGAAAGACGAGUUUCAGCAUUUGAGAAAGAUUUCAAUUCUACGUGGGCUUUGCCAUAAGGUAAGGUACUGUCUUUUCGGUUCCUUUGGCAGCGGAUUAUUUUCAAAGCUUGAAUUUUGCUUGUAAACUUUACCCAGGUUGGGUUGGAGUUGGUUCCAAGAGAUUAUGAUAUGGAAUGUCCAAACCCAUUCACGAGAGAUGAUAUUGUCAGCAUGGUUCCUGUGUGCAAGGUGAGACUAUUUUCUCUCUUAAUUGUGUUUUGAUUUAGUUUUUACAUUCUCAAUGAGUCACUCAUUUGUAAAUUGAAUGUAAUUGUGCUAUUUUUAUGGCAUUCUACAGCAUGUAGGUUGCACUUCAGCUGAUGGACGGACUUUAUUAGAGUCAUCCAAAAUUGCCCUUGAUAAAGGAAAACUAGAAGAUGCUGUAAAUUAUGGGACAAAGGUAAUAACCCACUCGAUCUAUACGUAAGAAUUACAUUAUUCUUUUCAUAAUAAGGCAUCUGUUGAUCUCAUAUGAUGUAUUACUUGCAUUGUAAGGCACUGGCAAGGAUGAUAGCUGUUUGUGGUCCCUACCAUCGGACUACUGCAAGUGCUUACAGUCUUCUAGCUGUAGUUCUCUACCAUACUGGAGACUUUAAUCAGGUACGACAAUCUUCAGUUGUAUUUCAGUGUUAACUUGGUGAUUCUAAGUCGAGUAUAAUUAUAACGUCCUUCUGUACGGAGAUUCUCAUUCAGUGGGACAUUUGAUUUGAAACUGUGUUAUGGCUAGUUUUUAUGGUCUUGUAUAAAGAUAUGCAUUAGAAAUUAUAAUUUUCUGGACUUAGGAAUUACAUGGACAGGCAUUAGCAUAAUUUUGAUAUCAGAUUAUAUAUUUUAACUAAAUCAAACACAUUCAUGGUUCUUAUGUUCUGGCAUUUGGUCUAAUGGCAUCUGCGUCUGAGUGUUAGAGUAGCGUUCGUAUGUACUCAAGAUAUCUUCUUCUUCAUUUUAGGCAACUAUAUAUCAGCAGAAGGCAUUGGAUAUUAAUGAGAGGGAACUUGGUCUUGACCAUCCAGAUACAAUGAAAAGCUAUGGGGAUCUUUCAGUUUUCUAUUAUCGCCUUCAACACAUUGAAUUGGCUCUUAAGUAAGUAGCACUGCUUGAUUUACCAGAGCAACUUUGUGAUUUUCAUUCUUUAACUGAUUAAGGUUUAUUUAUUCAUAAAUUAAAUUGGAAGUUUCGAAAAAUGUGACCUUUGUAUUGAAUGUGCUUCGAACGAAUGCAGUUUUUAUCUACCUACUUUAGCUUUUAUUUGUCUUUUAUUGGCUCUAGCUCCUGAUCAUACCGUACCAUUGGCAGAUAUGUAAAUCGUGCCUUAUUCCUUUUGCAUUUUACUUGUGGACUUUCACAUCCAAACACGGCUGCAACAUACAUAAAUGUGGCUAUGAUGGAAGAGGGCAUGGGAAAUGUUCAUCUUUCUCUUAGAUAUUUGCAUGAAGCCCUUAAAUGCAACCAAAGACUAUUAGGAGGUGACCAUAUACAGGUUUUUCUCUCUCUAUUUACGCAUGUAUACACACUCUUUAGAAUUAUAAAUCUUUCUGUUAACUCAGAAUUUUGUUUGAUUUCUUCACGUGACAGACAGCUGCAAGUUAUCAUGCCAUAGCCAUAGCUCUUUCUUUGAUGGAGGCAUAUUCACUAAGUGUGCAACAUGAGCAAACUACACUUAAGAUUCUCCAAGCAAAGCUUGGACUAGAAGAUCUGCGUACUCAGGUGACUACAUGUAGUCAUAUUUUAAUUGGUUCUGUUGUGCAAUUUGGCUAGUUGGCUUCUUUCUUGUCAAUCUUUUACAGGUGAUAUUAUGAUAUAAAACAAAUUGUAUUGGAGGCAUAUUUUUGGUGUCAAAUAUGGAUAUGACUCAUUCAUUAAUUGUAUCGAAAUAUCAAAAUACGGAUAUGACCCGUUUAUUAAUCGUGUUGACUUGUUUAAUAUUAAAUACAAACAAAUUAAAAAUUAAUUUUAAAAUAACAAAUGUGUCAAAAAAAUGAGUUAUAAAUAAGUUAAAAUGACAUAAGUAUGACAUGAAUAAGUUUAUAACAUAAUGUGAGUAUGACAUGAGUCAUAAAUUUAGUGUUUAGUAUAUAUUUUAGUUAUUUUUUCCAAUAAUAUUAACACAUAAUAAUUGAUAUUUGUGUUAUAAACGUAUAAUCAUAUUGAGAUGGUCCAAAACAGAUACGACAUGGUUAUUUAUCGUGUUGUGUCAACUCAUUUAUUAAUCGUGUCAAUAUUUGUCAACACGAAUAUGGGUCAUAUGUCAUAUUAUGUUGUGUAAUCGUGUCGUAAUCCAUUUUCCCACCUCUAAUCUUAACUGUCAUAAGAGAAUUUCUCAAGUUCCAUAUUAUUGAUGGGAAGAGAAUUUUGUUAUUUUGUUGUAUUUUUUUUCGUUUUACAGGAUGCUGCUGCAUGGCUGGAGUAUUUUGAAUCAAAAGCUCUAGAGCAGCAAGAAGCGGCACGGAAUGGAACUCCAAAGCCAGAUGCGUCCAUUGCGAGUAAAGGUCACCUUAGGUAUUAACAGGGUAUUCCCACAUUACUUGUUUCUAAAUUGUUGAUUAUUUCUUGUGGCACCAAGACCUAUAAUGAUCGCUUUUUGCAGUGUAUCAGAUCUCCUGGAUUACAUUAGUCCUGGUCAAGAUUCUAAAAGAAGCGAAGCACAUAGGAAACAACGACGUGCAAAGGUAGUAUAUACUUAGUGCCUGUUUAGUAUGACUUAUCUAAUAGUCAUAAAUUUUUAUUUAAUCCCAUAAGCUGUUAUCAAUUUUUUUUUGUUGUUUAAUUGUUUUUUCGUAGAGCUCUUGAAAAUUAAAUAAGUUAUUUUGCCUCUACUACCAAAAGCUCAAAUUUUGUGCUUUUAAGAGUAGAGGUUAAAAAGUUUUUUUUAAAUGUUAAAAUAUCUAAAAUAUUUUCUACUUAUUUGACAAUCUUAUUUUAUUCUUUUCAAAACAUAACUUUAAAAAAUUUGCUUAUUAAAGUAAUUUUAUAAUUUUCAAUAAAAGCUCUUAUUGACAACCAAACAACACAAAUUUUUUGGGUAAAAACUUUACUUAUAAAAUCUUUACUAACAAAAGCUCUACUCAGAUAAGAUCUAUUUGAAAAGCUAUGUCAAAUGAAGCAUUAAGCCUGCUGCUGUUCUCUGUUCCUUUUUUCUUGUGAUGUCAUCUGAAUGGAUUCUUAAACUAAUUGUAGUUAGGAUUUGGUAUUUUAGAGUACACUCUGCUGGCUGCAUAUAGUUUUGGAUUUGCUGAUGACACGAGUAAACUUGUUGGCCAUGCAAAAUGCAACUAUAUAUCUGCAGGAUAAUAGUUCUACUUUUCUGAGUGAACUCUGAAGGCACCAAUUAUAACAUCCAUUUCCAGCAUAGAAUCCCCUGCCCAACAAAAAGAAAUCUAACAUGCUUAUACAGAUCGCAGACAUGAUUGAAACUUCAGAAGUUUCUGAUCUAUUGAUGGCCAUAGAUUGGGCCAGCUGAUAGUUAGUAGGCAAUGAUGGAGGGUUGCUUGGUCAAGCUGCUAGUUCUUUGGAAAUUCAGAGAUGAUGAGCAGAACGAGUGAUAAUUUUUGUUUUCCCCCAUAAUCUUGAACAGAGUGGGAAGAAACCAUUAAUUUGAAGUGCAAUGGAUGGAUAUGACAGAUCUAUCAUUUUGGCUAGUAGAUGGAGUUCUUCCAUUCUACUGUUAUUUACUGGUUGUUUUUAUUGAUUCUAGAAAAACAUUUUUUGAUUUGGCAGUUGGAGUUUUUCCCUUUUUUUUUUCUCCCCAUUUUGUAGGCCUUAGAGAACCAAAUAAUACUACAUAUUAGAUAGACAGGAUUAUUAUGUGCUAAUUUGAAGUAUUACCUGGUUGACAAUUUAAGACACUAGUAAAGUAUUUCGCUAUGAUUAUUUUUUUUUGAGAAUUCCAUGAUUCAAAAGGCCGAAGAAUUUCAUUAGUUUAACAUAGUAUAUAUUAACAUAAUUUCUCACUGAGUGUUUUUUUCAACAUUUCAGGCAUGUACAUAUCAAAUUCCCAUUAUGUUCCACUGAAUUCUGCCUCAUGUUAUGUCCGGAUUUGUUGUAAUAAAUUUUGCUACUGUAAAAUUACAAGAUGAUUGUAACUUAAAAUGAACUAUUUCUAUUUGCUCAAUUUUUGACAUUUUAUAUGCAUACAAGUUAAAAAGGUUUUGUUUAUUUUUAUUUUUUUAUUUUUUCAGGUAAUGCAGAUUAGGGAAAAGAUUCAUGGAGCACAUCAUGAUAUGAUGGUGGAAGAUGCACUGCCCCAUGAUGGAUUGAAAAAGAGGAUGACUAUAGUGGAAAGCAAGACCGAGGAAGUAAUAGAAGACAGUGUUCAACCUGAAGAGCCAGAAGAGAAUGAUGAUAUUACUAGAUAUGGACCGGCAAUUUCAGGUGAGUUUGUGGAAGAAACAAAUUCAGAUGAGGGGUGGCAAGAAGCCAAUCCAAAAGGUAGGUCAGGAAAUGCUGCUGUUCGGAAGCUCAGCCGGAGGCGACCUGUUCUUACAAAGCUAAAUGUCAAUGGUUGUGAACAUUCAAAUCUUAGAGAAAAAGGCAAUAGACGGGAAAUUGUAUCUCCAGCACGGGAAAAAGCUUCAAGGACCACCACCACUGAGUUAACAGGCACGAAGGAUUCAAUUAAAUUGCAGGGAAAAGCUUCUGUCUCCAAAGUUUAUGCAAGUCCACCAAACCUUACUGCCAUGGCUUCCAAGUCGCUGUCUUACAAAGAAGUAGCUGUGGCACCACCAGGUACGGUUCUAAAGCCAUUACCAGAGAAACCUGACGAAGAAAUUGAAGAAAAAACUGAAACACAGAUGUGCAGUAAUGCUCCUGAGACAUCAAAGGCGGAGUUGAAUAACCAUUUCUCUCCCGUUGAAGAUGCGCCAGUUGAUGGUCAGUCUCAAGAAACUCAUGGAAGUGUAACUCAAUCUGAAACUACUGCUGCAGAUACCGAGGAAGUUCCUACUUCUUCUAAUGAGGAAAAGCCCAUGGAAACAAAUGGGAGUAAGCUUUCUGCCACAGCUGAACCAUUCAACCCAGGAGCUGUCUCCAUGACUCAUCUGCUAAACUCUGUAGCAGCCACGAGUAUUUAUGAUGCGAGAACUAGUCAAGGUAUGCUUGCAGAACCUGCUGUACCUUCGGCU